rnacentral:rRNA from 1 species
UGAUACCCUAUUAUUUUAAGCUAUAUAUUGGUAGUAAUUAAUAAUUUAUGAAAUCAUAAGAUUUUGGCGGUAUUUUAAGCUUAUUAGAGGAAUUUGCUYUGUAAUGGAUACAACGCCUUAAUCUUACUUAAUUUGGUUUUAAAGUCAGUUUGUAUACCMCUAUAUUUAAUUAUAUUGAAUAAUUAUAUUUAAGAUUUUUUUUUAUAAAAAAUAUAUUAAGUCAAGGUGCAAUUUAUAAUUAUGAAUGAAGUGAAUUACAUUAAUUUUAAUUUUACUUAAAUAUUGAAAAAAAAAAUUAUAGGAUUUAAUAGUAAAAUG